GAUGAAGAACGUAGCGAAAUGCGAUACUUGGUGUGAAUUGCAGAAUCCCGUGAACCAUCGAGUCUUUGAACGCAAGUUGCGCCCGAAGCCAUUAGGCCGAGGGCACGCCUGCCUGGGCGUCACACGUCGUUGCCCCCCCAUCUACUCCUUCGGGAUUGCGGGGGGCGGAUGACGGCCUCCCGUGCGCCUCGUCGCGCGGUUGGCAUAAAUGCCAAGUCCUCGGCGACGCACGCCACGACAAUCGGUGGUUGCGAAACCUCGGUUGCCCGUCGUGUGCGGUCGUCGCGCAUCGAGGGCUCGAAAAAAUUGUCGGGCUCCGGCUCGGCUUUCAACGCGACCCCAGGUCAGGCGGGGUUACCCGCUGAAUUUAAGCAUAUCAAUAAGCGGAGGA
rnacentral:misc_RNA from 1 species